GAGAAAUGGUAAAUUUGAAAGGACAGCUUAGGGAAGCCAAGCAAAUAACUGACACUGCUCAUGGCUGGGAAGCCUACAAGAGACCUUAUUCUGCCCCAAGACCUCCUGUAUAAAAAAGAAUGUCUGUUUGCUGCUGACAGUGAGAAACAUGCUGCCUGAGAACAUGUCAUCAUUGCAGCAGAGGAAUCCGUUCUUUUUAUCCCAGCUACACUGAUAAAAUUGCA